GGCUCCUGGUGGCCGGGAUCUACGUCAGCGGCCGCCCCACGUGCGGCGCCACACUCUUCUUCAUCCAGCGGAGGCCGCCCCGCUGGCCCGCCAUGAAAUUCCGGAGCCGCGGCCGCCGCAGCUCCUACGCCGAGGUGGAGGCGGCCAGCCAGGAGAAAGAGGGAAUUGUGGAGGCCGAGCAGUGCUGAGCGCUUCUCCCGAGGAAUCCCUCCCGAGGGAUCCAUCCCGAGGAAUCCUGAUAAUCCUUCCCAAGGAAUCCAUCCUGAGGAAUCCAUCCCGAGGAAUCCUGAUAAUCCAUCCUGAGGAAUCCAUCCUGAGGAAUCCGUCCUGAGGAAUCCUGAUAAUCCAUCCUGAGGAAUCCAUCCUGAGGAAUCCAUCCCAUGGAAUCCAUCCUGAGGAAUCCAUCCCGAGGAAUCCAUCCUGAGGAAUCCUGACAAUCCAUCCCGAGGAAUCCAUCCCAUGGAAUCCAUCCCAUGGAAUCCAUCCUGAGGAAUCCAUCCCAUGGAAUCCAUCCCGAG
rnacentral:lncRNA from 1 species